AACGUGCUCCGGGGUCGGUGAAAAUCCGAGCCGGCGGUAAUAGUCCGCGACCCGGUUGUACCAGCCCGUCGGGUUGGCACAACCGGCUGAGCCGGUGGAAUUCCGGCGCCGACGGUGAAAGUCCGGAUGGGAGGAUGCACGAG
rnacentral:ncRNA from 2 species